GAAUGCCAUUUCCACAGCCUGUCUCCUCACACACAUGGGCAGGCAACACCGCUGAUGCUUCCCAACCAACCCUGCGUGUCGGCUGCUGAUUAGAACUUUCCUGUUGCCACGGAAACCCCCCUGGGGAGGCCUGCCCUACUUUGCAUCCCUGGCAUAGGGCGGGCGGCCUCACCCCACACCCCUGAGACAGAGAGAUGGGAUUUAUCCAACUCGCUGCAAGAACAGGUCCCACUGGAAAAAGAACUGGCCUCCCUCAUUCAGAUAUUCAAUCGAUGUUUAGCAGCACCAACAAUGUCCCAGAGACCGAGCCAGGCCCUGGGACAAGAAGAAACAUAAGUCACGGUCCCUGCCCUCGCAAAGCACACUGACUCACAGGGAACCCGACAGAAAACCAGGUAUGAGCCUGCCUGUGAGGCCGAGGACCACAGCAAUGACGCCAGCAACUCAGGGCUGGGGACAAUUCUGAGCCCUUCCCAUGGAUUCACUCAUCUGCUCCUUCCAUUAACUUUUGGGGUAGGUAUCAAUAGUAUCCCCAUAUGACAGAUGAGGAAACUAAGGGCUCAGAGAGGUUGAGAAGCUUGCCCUAGGUCACACAGCUGAGAAGCAGCAAAGCCAGAACCUGGAGCCAGGGAGAUUCUGAGCCACACUGUAGGUGUUCAGUGAAGGGUUCCCAACUCCAUCAGGGUGGUCCAGGAGGGUCUCCCAGGGAAUGUCCUCCGAAGGGAUCUCAGUAAGAGGAGAUGAGGGUGGGGACAGGAGCAUGGUGGAGCGGGGUUCUGAGAUGCUGAUCACUCAGUAUUGGGGUCAGUGGCCUGGUCCUCCACUCCUUGUCUGGUGAGACUCAGUUAGGUCUUGAGACACAUGACUUGGGAAAAGAAGAUGUAAUCCAGGUGGUCAGUGCUGGAGAGCGGCACAUCAGCUACAAGGCACAGGCCCCCUGAAAAGGCUGAAACGCCUCUGGAGGCUUCCAAGGGAGCAGUUUGGGACGGGUGCACACACACUCCGCUGCCUGCCCAUCUUCACACCCUUGGGCAACAGCUCCCUAUACCUCCACACCUGUGAGGAGGAGAGACUCAGACCACGGCCAGGCUUAGUCCUUGCAGUACCUGCACAAAAAGACUUUUAUUUCCAGGAGGGCAUCUGUGCCUCAAGCUAUCAGCAGCUAUACAAGACCACAAGUCCAAGUAGCAAGGAGGAAAACAGACCUUGGAAUGAGAAGCCCCCCCUGCUCAUUUACCGCUUGAGAGUUUUCGAAGGCAUCACCUGGCAAAUCUGCGGUGCACGCAGUGAGACUCACUUCCUUGCUUGAGAUCACACAAUUUUUCAUCAAUAAAGCUAAGACUCAAUCCCUUGUCUGA